AUUGAACGCUGGCGGCAGGCCUAACACAUGCAAGUCGAGCGGAUGAAGGGAGCUUGCUCCUGGAUUCAGCGGCGGACGGGUGAGUAAUGCCUAGGAAUCUGCCUAGUAGUGGGGGAUAACGUCCGGAAACGGGCGCUAAUACCGCAUACGUCCUGAGGGAGAAAGUGUGGGAUCUUCGGACCUCACGCUAUCAGAUGAUCCUAGGUCGGAUUAGCUAGUUGGUGGGGUAAAGGCCUACCAAGGCGACGAUCCGUAACUGGUCUGAGAGGAUGAUCAGUCACACUGGAACUGAGACACGGUCCAGACUCCUACGGGAGGCAGCAGUGGGGAAUAUUGGACAAUGGGCGAAAGCCUGAUCCAGCCAUGCCGCGUGUGUGAAGAAGGUCUUCGGAUUGUAAAGCACUUUAAGUUGGGAAGAAGGGCAGUAAGUUAAUACCUUGCUGUUUUGACGUUACCAACAGAAUAAGCACCGGCUAACUUCGUG
rnacentral:rRNA from 1 species